rnacentral:rRNA from 1 species
CCUACGGGGGGCAGCAGUGGGGAAUAUUGCACAAUGGGGGAAACCCUGAUGCAGCGACGCCGCGGGAGUGAAGAAGUAUUUCGGUGUGUAAAGCUCUGUCAGCAGGGACGAGAAUGACGGUACCUGAGUAAGAAGCCCCGGCUAACUACGUGCCAGCAGCCGCGGUAAUACGGAGGGGGCAAGCGUUAUCCGGAUUUACUGGGUGUAAAGGGAGCGUAGACGGCGAGGCAAGUCUGAAGUGAAAGCCCGCGGCUCAACCGCGGAACUGCUUUGGAAACUUUUUUGCUGGAGUACCGGAGAGGUAAGCGGAAUUCCUAGUGUAGCGGUGAAAUGCGUAGAUAUUAGGAGGAACACCAGUGGCGAAGGCGGCUUACUGGACGGUAACUGACGUUGAGGCUCGAAAGCGUGGGGAGCAAACAGGAUUAGAUACCCCUGUAGUC